GAUGACCUUGCCUGAUUUUCCGAGAAGUGGUGCAUGGCCGUCGUCAGUUCGCACCGUGAGGCGUUCUGUUAAGUCAGACAACGAACGAGACCCUCAUCUUUAGUUGCCAUUAGUAGGUCCGCUUACUAAGCACACUAAAGAAACCGCUGGCGAUAAGUCAGAGGAAGGUGAGGGCAACGGUAGGUCAGUAUGCCCCGAAUCCUCCGGGCUACACGCGCGCUACAAAGGCUAGGACAAUUGGUUCCUACACCGAAAGGUGACGGUAAUCCUGAAACCUAGUCAUAGUUCGGAUUGAGGAUUGCAACUCAUCCUCAUGAAGCUGGAAUCCGUAGUAAUCGCGGGUCAACAUCCCGCGGUGAACAUGCCCCUGCUCCUUGCACACACCGCCCGUCAAACCAUGCGAGUUGGGUCUGAGUGAGGAUGUGGUUUUUGCCAUGUUCAAACUUAGGUUA
rnacentral:rRNA from 1 species